AGCUCCAAUAGCGUAUAUUAAAGUUGUUGCAGUUAAAAAGCUCGUAGUUGGAUUUCUGUUAAUAAUUUAUAUAAAAUAUUUUGAUGAAUAUUUAUAUAAUAUUAACAUAAUUCAUAUUACUAUAUAUUUUAGUAUAUGAAAUUUUACUUUGAGAAAAUUAGAGUGCUUAAAGCAGGCAUAUGCCUUGAAUACUCCAGCAUGGAAUAAUAUUAAAGAUUUUUAUCUUUCUUAUUGGUUCUAAGAUAAGAAUAAUGAUUAAUAGGGACAGUUGGGGGCAUUUGUAUUUAACAGUCAGAGGUGAAAUUCUUAGAUUUGUUAAAGACAAACUAAUGCGAAAGCAUUUGCCAAGGAUGUUUUCA
rnacentral:rRNA from 1 species